UAACAUCCAUAAUGCUCUCGUUGACUCUACCAAGCAGCCAAAUGGUGACACUCGGUAGUCAGCAUAUCAAUUUGUUUUACUUUUUUUACGCAUGCCAACGU
rnacentral:lncRNA from 1 species